GAAAUCCUGGAAUGUGCGAGGCCCCUUUUUAUUUUGAACCUACAUUGACAUGAAGGGACUCCAACAUCGCAGAUCGUGAUGUCAGACCUCUCGUUGUGGUAGGCAGAUCAUCUGUUGAGGACACCCACCUGGCUUCGGCUAGGCGUCAAAAGGAAGGGAACGGCAUUCCGGGACUUUC
rnacentral:other from 2 species